rnacentral:ncRNA from 1 species
CUGGUUCGGCCGAAUGUCUCUCGGACAGCGGUGUCUGCGAAUAGGAAGAUGCGGUAGAGAGGAUGUCGACCUUGUCAACAAACUCCGAAUGCGUCAUUGUGUUGCGAUUGCAUCCAACAUGAUCAUCUAUAAGACACUAGUGGGCGCCUUGUGGUAAGCAUGCGGCGCAAAAAGGGAUGAACCUAGCAGUGGGGUAAGGUGCCUAAAGGAAAACAAAGAGAAAAAGCGUUUGGCAGAUUAGGACAGUGGGGCGGUGGCCAUGGAGGUCGGCAUCCGCUAAGAAACGUGUUACAACGUACCCACCGAAUCUGCGAAUGCUGAAAAUGGAUGGCGCUUAUUUCCAUACCGAGCCCCACAUGGUACAGCCACGUAGGCCGGCACGUGUGCAUCUGAGAAGACCCGCCGUGAGGUGUGUUGGAGAUGUUCACGGAGCAGAUCUUGGAAGUAGUAGCAUCAUUUGUAUGUGCCAAUGGAGGCGGGUUUGUCCUUUUAAUAGAAGGAAGUGAUACGAGCCUAGUAAAAGGGAAUAUAGUAGAUAUUCUAUAUAGAUGUACCUAUGUGGCGACACGACAGCGACCCCAACGACGUGUGCCGGUGAGAAUUUUCCGGGACACCCAGAUCUUAUGAGCGUCACGCUGAGACUAAGAACGAGUUGGGCGGUGAAAAUGAAGGAACAUCCUCGUACCGAACCGCAACAGGACUCCUAGGUGAGAAGCCUAAGGCAUAAUUGUAAUGUGAGCAAGGGAAAUCGGCAAAAUGGAUGAAAAACCUCGGGAUAAUCAUUGGCUCUAGCAUGCUAGAACUGGGCUUACAAGGGGAAUCUGACUGUUUAAUAAAAACAUAGCUUUGUGUGUACGCAAAGUGAAUUCUGCCCAGUGCUUGGGACGUUAAGGAAGUAAUUUUAAGUACGCACCUGUAAACGGCGGGAGUAACUAUGACUCUCUUAAGGUAGCCAAAUGCCUCGUCGCCUAAUUAGCGACCCGCAUGAAUGGAGCAACGAGAUUCCCACUGUCCCUGCUCACAGAUUUGCGAACUACAGCCAAGGGAACGGGCUUGGGAAUGCAUCGGGGAAAAAAAACCUGUUGAACUGACUCUAGCCAAGCAAGGGCCUGGUGACUAUUACGAUACCAGGGGGAAAAAUGUGGGAAACCCGUGACUAAUCGGCGGGG